rnacentral:lncRNA from 1 species
GGGCGCCCGUCUCGGUCCGCGCCCCGCGCCGCCCCAGCCCCUCGGCUGCCUCCGGACGAGGUCUCGGACGCGAUGAAGUGCCCCCGGAUUUUGGCAGCUGGGGAGGGGAGACCCCCAUCAGGGCCCCGCUGCGGGGACACGGGGGCUCAGCCCCGUUACGAGCCACCGGAGAGUCUACGGGGGGGGAGAGGUGCGCGAGCCGUGGUGCUCGGGGGGCCCGUGGCCCUUUCCUUGCUUGUUCACUGCUUUUGGCCCCAAAUUUUCCCUCCUGACCUAUGGGCUGAAAUUUUUCCAUUUAUGGCAAAUAGCAAAAAAUAAGCCCCAAAACCUCAAACUUGCCGCCUGCCCCAUCCCGGGGCCUGGAGGAACCCGCGGCCGGGGAGGGCCCCGGCGUCCCCCGGCCCUCGCUCACGCCACCGCGGCGCCUUGGGAACGGGAAGAAAAGGCGCCGGCGACAAAAGCCCUCCUCGCUCGGGCGGGCGCGGGGCGAGCGGGGCCGGGGAGGGCCCCGGCGUCCGGCCCCCGAGCUGGCCCCCGGCCACGGCGCCGCGCGGGAACGCUUUGUCUGCCCGGAGCCGUGAGCCGGAAUGCCAAUGAUCCGGGCAGAGCACGGGCAGCCCCGGCUUGGGGCUGUGGCUGUACGUCGGCGGUGCUUGGUGCUGGGGGCUGUAUGUGCACGGUGCUUGGUGCUAGGGGCUGUACAUCAACAGUGCUUGGUGCUAGGGGCUGUAUCUCCACCGUGCUCGGUGCUAGGGGCUGUAUCUCCACCAUGCUUGGUGCUAGGGGCUGUACAUCCAUGCUGCUUGGUGCUAGGGGCUGUAUGUCCAUGAUGCUCAGUGCUAGGGGCUGUAUCUCCACUGUGCUCGGUGCUAGGGGCUGUAUCUCCACCAUGCUUGGUGCUAGGGGCUGUACGUCCAUGCUGCUUGGUGCUAGGGGCUGUAUCUCCACUGUGCUCGGUGCUGGGGGCUGUAUCUCCACCGUGCUCGGUGCUGGGGGCUGUAUGUUCAUGAUGCUCGGUGCUAGGGACUGCACAUCGGUGCUGCUCGGUGCUGGGGGCCGUGCGCUGGCGGUGCAGAGCCGUGCGCCCACCAUCCCGGCCUCCCGUCGGAGCAGCCCGGCCGCCAGGGACCCRGGCCAGAGCGUGC